rnacentral:rRNA from 1 species
CCUACGGGUGGCUGCAGUGGGGAAUAUUGCACAAUGGGCGCAAGCCUGAUGCAGCCAUGCCGCGUGUGUGAAGAAGGCCUUCGGGUUGUAAAGCACUUUCAGCGGGGAGGAAGGCGUUAAGGUUAAUAACCUUGGCGAUUGACGUUACCCGCAGAAGAAGCACCGGCUAACUCCGUGCCAGCAGCCGCGGUAAUACGGAGGGUGCAAGCGUUAAUCGGAAUUACUGGGCGUAAAGCGCACGCAGGCGGUCUGUCAAGUCGGAUGUGAAAUCCCCGGGCUCAACCUGGGAACUGCAUUCGAAACUGGCAGGCUAGAGUAUUGUAGAGGGUGGUAGAAUUCCAGGUGUAGCGGUGAAAUGCGUAGAGAUCUGGAGGAAUACCGGUGGCGAAGGCGGCCCCCUGGACAAAGACUGACGCUCAGGUGCGAAAGCGUGGGGAGCAAACAGGAUUAGAUACCCGAGUAGUC